AGCUGGGGGGAGCUGGCCAAGAGAAGCCACCUCACUCAUGGGCCAUGCGGGAGAUCGUCCCUCUCACUCUGGGGGACUCCGGUGUCCGAUUUCUCCAGCCCCUGCAGCCUGGCUGGCGUCAGUUUGCCCGCUAAGCCAGCUCCUCCCAGACAGGCAGGCUCAACCAUAAAUUUUAAUUCAAAACUUUUCCUUUUUAUUAUUUUCAAAUGCUCAAGGCCCUCAAUGCGAUGCGAAAUUUCUCCCCUGCUCUGACCUGCAGAAGAGCAGGGUUUCCCUGCCAGUUCCCCUUCCACAAGGGGUGCCCCCUGCCCCCCGCACACAUACACAUGAAACUGGUGAUUCUUUGCAUCUGUGGAUACUGUUCCAGCGCGAGGCCAGUGACUUCACCCAGCUAAACUCUUCGUGUGGUGGCUCCUUCUCUGGGGCCAAAUGGAAAGCAAAUCUGGAUAAUCGUGGGUAAUGUCAGUGCGCCGGCAGGGGCUCAGGACUCCGCCUGCACAGGCCGCCUCCUCAGGGAAGCCCAGGAAACUUGUCCAGGCACGAAUGGCCGCUGCUCCAUGGCCCAUGAGCUCACCUGCAUGCCUGGGCCGUUGUGUGUCUUGACUGCGCGCCUGAAGCCGCCGUGUGCCCAGCGGGGACCGAGCGCUUCCCACCUGGCCUCCCGCCUGAAGUACGGGAAAACCUCAGCGGAAGGCUUGCGUCGCACCUGGAGACAGUUCCUGGUUUGCACCCCCCAACCCAUCCUCUGGGGUGCGAGCCCAAGCAUGGGAUGGUCCGUCCUUGAGAUCACGCUGCCCCAGGGAGGGACCACUGUUGGCCCAGAAAUCCUGGGGAAGUCACAUUGCUCUGGUGAGCCAGAGAAAUCGGAUCCAGUGGGUCUAGGGCCUGAGGUUCCGUGUUCCGAACAAGCCCGUCGGGGGCUGCUGACGCUGCCUGCUCUGGGGUGAACCACACUGAGGGACAGUAGGGCCUGGGGUGGGGGGGGGGCAGGGGUCGGCUCUGACCGGCUCUAGAGCUGGGUCCCAGCCCAGCUAGAGCUUCCAUGGAAACAUCUCUAGUGUAGAGGCGGGAAGAGGAGCCCUAGAGUGCGUGGAGGGAUGCAUAGCGGCGUGACCCCGCACGCUGUGGCUCGCGGGUAGCAAUGAUGUUGCCAAAAAGCCAUCAGCAGAGGCGGCCUCCCACCUCCCUGCCCUCCUUGCCAGACUCUACUGUGCAGCAGGGAAACCAGAGUCUGUUCCCUUGUCGGCUCGCUCUGUGGCUCCCGGAGGCUAGGCCAUCCUCUCCCAGAGGCUGGAGCAACCCUCCAUCAGGGGAUGGACCACCUGUCCGGCCUGAGCCCCUGGCUGGCCUCCCACCCGCUCUCAGGCCCGAGCCCAGGGACACCUCGUCAUCUCAGAGCCCCAGCCACAGACACUUCCUCUGUGUGGUCUCCCCAACUUCGGCUAGAACUCUUGUGCUCUCCGGGUCUCAGAAUGCUUCGUACCCCUGCCCAUCUCUGGAGCUUUCCUUGGGGUGCUGUCCCUGUCUCCCCUGCCAGCCUCUGGGCACCUCAAGAAGACCACCCGCCAGGCCUGUGGCCGGCAUCCAGCCGAUGCCUGCUCAAGACGGAAAUCCUAACGAGACAGGGAAGUGCCACCCGGUUUAGCUCAAGGGGGCCCAGCGGGCAGGGUGGAGAGUUACUGCCAGGAGUGGAGGGGAUGUCCAGCUCUCGCGCUCACUCUGACACUCCCCCUGCUCCUUCCUCAAGGAAGAAGCCCCAUGUCUGCAGCCAGCCCCAUGAGCGGGGCCAGUUGGUGGGAACCUGAUGCUGAGGGUCCCUUGACGAGGAUGCGUGUCCCCAACAGUGAGGCCAGACCGCUCAUGUUGGAACACGUCUCUGUAUGAAUACUGAAGUCAAGUGAGGGUUGAUUCUCAAUGUGAAAUGGUCUGUAGGCGUUAAAUUCAGCAGGAAUUCCUUGUAGUUUUUUUACUCCCUCUCUUUGAAGGAGGGGUGUGGCUUAAGACUUUCCCUAGGGUCUGGGUCCUAAGUAAGCCCAGUCCCUCUAGAGGUCCUGCAGACACCCCCAGGCUGGGGAUCGGGGGCCGGGGGGCUGUGGGGGCUCAGGGGCAGGGAGGGAAGCCUUUUCUCCUCUUCCGUUGUCUUCUCAGUGGAGCAGCAAUGUGCCCGUCUAGAGCAGCUAGUGGCUUCUCUUUCCUGCCUCCGAGCUGACCUCUUCCUCCAGCUCCCUCCUCUCCCAGAGGGAAGGGAGUUCCCUUCAGGGUAGCUCAAGCCAGGAGCUCAGGGACAACCACGGGGAAGUCAUGACCAAGAAAUCAACAUACUGUUUGACAGCGGCCCUCCGGGGGCGAUUAUACAACUGAUCCUGGGUGUUGUACAGCCCAAAGCCCCUUCCAGGGGCCUGGCUGGUGCUGGCCAGAGUGCUCAUGCCGGGGGGGCUGUCCGCCCCCACCCCACCCGCAAGUGUAUGAGUCCCUCUAACCCCAGGUGUCUUCAAUGCCCGGCCCCUGCCCGGCGCCCCAGGAAACACACCUGCAGCCUGCAGCCUCCUGACCUGGGCUGGGCCAGGCAGGUGCGUGCUCCCGGCGCCCCGCCACUCCACAUUCCACCUCGCCUCACCUCCGGGCUGGCUCAGACAAGCCGCUACCCCCAUCCCCCACCAGCUCCGGAUGCCCAAACAGAGGCCUCUCCCUCUCCUCAACUGGGCGUAAUUGCAACCUGAAUGUGUGUGUCGGGAGGGUCCAGGGAGAGCGUGUUAACAAGCCAGGAGGCUCCUGCUCUGAACGCUUUGGCAAUCAGGACUCGGGCACCGUGCGUAAGGCCGAGAAGCAGAGAGAGUGUAGGGACGGAGCUAAUUAAGCUGUAAACCAUCCCCAGAGCCCCAGUGCAUUUGUAAUUACGCUCUCUGAUCUCAGAAGCCCCUCGGGCACUCCGGGAGAGCUUGGGGUGGGGGGAGGAAGGGGGAGCCGAUGAUUGAGAAGUUCAUCAGGGCUUUGAGAAUGGAUUUUCAUGAAACUGACAUUUACACCGUUCUUGGAGAAUCUGCUCCCUGAAAAGAACCAUAAACCAUGCCUAAUUCUGCCACGUGAUCUGAGGAGCUCCAAUCGGCCGGCCCCAGGGGGUCCUGACUUGUUUUAUGUAGGUCAGGGGACCCCUGUGUGGUAUGAUUUUGGAAGCCCCCCCUCCCUUGCUCCUGCCCACGGAAAUACCCCAGCUCAACGCACUGGUGCUGAAAAUCGUAUAGCUGUUUAAUUCUGGUGCUUUUAACCUUGCCAAAACCCAAACAUAGUGGCUUGCCUUCCCCACGCUGCACCUCAGUGGGAAGGAGAGUAACCCAGUUUUAAGGGUGGGACCACAUUGCGGUAGUCCCAACCUGUCCUCUUUUUUUGAACAGUCAACAAAUCAAAACACGAUCUAAUACUUAGGUCUGAUUUUUUCCUGUGGGUAAACGGAGGACCCGAAAGAGCCGGGGACCUCGUUCGAGAGCACACAGGCAGAAAGGUGGCAGAGCGGGAACGGCAGCCAAGUCUGGCUUCAAAUCUAGCAGACUCUGCAGUUUCUAAGAAGCUGAGUGAAAAAGAAGAAGCUGGAAUGCUGAGGACUUGUCAAGCAUCGUCCUGCAGAGGCCGGGACUGGGGAAGGCUUCGAUCCACAAACGGCAGGAGCCCGAAGUCGGCUUCCAUGAUCACCUUUGGUCAUUUUUCGAUUUGUUGAUUGUUAGAAAAAAUCCAGGCUGGGGACGUAGCCUUGCUACAAAGGAUAAAUUACAAGCAGAAACUCUCACGCCGAUACGCUGGCAUCUGUUAAGCCCAUCCUCUCGCGCAGCAACUGGCCCUGCGGACAACUGACUCGGGUCUGGGCUGAGCACAGGUUCCUCCAGAAACCCCUUUCCCCAGACAGUCCCACAUAACUAAAUAGCAGCAGCUCAUCUGGGCUCAACCUUUGAAGAAAACCAGAUAAUACUGGGCUCAACCCAGUUUAGGCAGUGACUAUUUCUUCUAAAAACAAAGAAGGAGACAGACAGAAUUCCUGCCUGAAUCCGUUCACCCUGCCCCUGCGGCCAAGCCCCGGGAAUUCUGCCCUGGCGGGGAAGAUUCAGACAGACCUCAGCACUUUUCUGAGAAACGGGGAUUUGGGCCAGAAUCUCCUCCCAUGAUUCUGGUUCCCAGAGCGGCCACAAGGCACGUCAGCGGGAGCCGGCCCUCCAGAGCCUUCCAAGUCCCCAGAGCAAAGCUCGGGAAUCUUGAGACUUUUUUCUAUUUUUACUACAAAUCAUAAAGGAGAAACAACUAAUUUUUCAUCAAGCUUUACUGUGAAUUGAAGAGUUGAGGAACACAGCCCGGUCCCUGGCAUCAAGUAAGCGCCCCCAAAGUUGUCAUUAUCAAAAGAGUACGUUUCUGGCUAUCAAGGUAGCUCUCUCAUUGUAAACAAACUUGUAAAACCCUGAGACGUACAAAGACGUCAUUAAACUCAUCUAUAAUCCAAACUCCCAGACACGGCACCUUGUGGAUCUAUCUCCUUCCAGAUCUUUUUCUACCUGUAAACUCAAUGUAUCGAUCAUAUAGACUUGGUACGUCGAUAUCACACACCGUAAGUGGAACAGAUCUACUCGCAAAGAUGGGAUCGCGGCGUAGGUGCUGUUUGACUCCAGUUCCGCUGUGCGUCCUUCCAUAAACCCCUCUUGGUGGUAACAAGCAUUCUGUAAUAACAUAACAGCUCUCCGAUGAGCAUCCUUGCACAAGGACGCACAUCCUUGUCCAGCCUUCAAUCUCUUGCCUGAUGAUUUUCUCUGGAUAAUUCCCAGCAAUUGGGCUGUCAGAGUUAAAGAUUUUAGGGACGGGGUGUCCAACUGUCCUCCAGAAGGAGCACACCAGUUUCCCUCCCGACAUCUUUUCGGGUGUCAACAACACCUUGACAUGCAUUGACCCUCACUAUUCAUGGGUUCUGAGUUUUUGUAUUCACAAGAAUUGGUCCAGAAAGUCUCUAUAGAGAAGACAACCCAAACUUUUUAUCUUUUCACCUGUGAUCCCCCUGGUACAUAGUAAACACUCAAUAAAUGCAGUGCAUCUUGGAUGAAUAGGAAGAAAGUCAGAGGUGGUUAUAUAGUUUGGACCCCGGGUCAAGAUCCUGGAGUUUUUGUUUUCUCUUUUUUUAACCGGUAUCUUUCCCUGUCCUGCCUUCAGCUGGUUCUCACAGGCAUCUCUCGGAGGCAGAAACACCCCUCCCAGAAAAGCAAACUCCAGAUGUCACCCUUGAUCUUUUACCACUCAUUAAAUCGUAAGGCCACCAGUGGCAUUGAUGUAGCAUGGAUAAUCGUAUUUUCCCAACUGAAGAGUAGGAAACAACGAUGUUAUCUGAUUUAUAAAUCUAUUUAUGUGGAAGAAGAAAAAUAUUUGCAGAAGAAUAAUAUUUUGUGACACGUGCAGAUUAUGCAGAGUUCAAAUUUCAGUGUCCAUAAAAAUGGGGUUGGAAUGCAGCCACGCCCAUUUGUUCCCGAUCGGCUAUGGCUGAUUCCGCUGUUUUACCACGGAGUGGAGUAGUAGCUAUGGGAAAGGGACAGCCCCAAAACCUAAAACAUUUACUCCCUGGUCCUUACAGGAAAGUUUGCCGGCUUCUCGCCUAGAGGUAGGCUACUUGGUGACAGCAUACUUUAAUUGUAUGUGUGUGCACACAGAGACACGAGUAGUGCAAAAACGCUUUUGUUGAGAAAAGCGGUCCUCCAACUACUUGGCCUCAGAAUCCUUUUCCAUCUUGAAAAACACUGCAGACCUAAGAGAGCUUUUGCUAAAUGUGGGUUGUAUCUAUUGAUAUCUGCCGUAUUUGAAAUUAAAUCUAUGAAGCACUUAAAAAUUGAUUAAUUCACUGAAAAUAACACAAUAAUCCCACAUCAUAUUAAUAUAUGUACCACAUUUUUAAUGAAAACAAAAAAACCCCCUAUAUUUUCCAGAGCAAAAAUGUCAGUGGAGAGGAGUGGCAUAAUUUUAAGUAUUUGCAAAUCUCUUUGAAAUCUGGGUAAAUAGAAGACAGUGAGAUUCUCAUCACUCCUUCUGGGGUCACUCCAUUGAAACCUAACAUGUGACACAGCCUGUGGAAAACUCUACCAUGAGGGCAAAAAAAAGAAAAAUAACAUCUUAGUAGUACUAUAAAAAAUAGUUUUGGGGCACCUGGGUGACUGAGUGGGUUAAGCCUCCGCCUCGGGACAUGGCUCGGGACAUGGUCCCAGGGUCCUGGGAUCGGGCCCCGCAUCGAGCUCUCUGCUCAGCAGGGAGCCUGCUUCCUCCUCUCUCUCUGCCUGCCUCUCUGCCUACUUGUGAUCUGUCUGUCAAAUAAAUAAAUAAAAUCUUAAAAAAAAAAAAAGUUUUGACAUAGUGGAUCCUCUGAAAGUUUCUUGGUGAACCCCAGGGGGCGCCUGGGCCACACUUUGAGAACUACUGCUUUAGAAACAGUGUUCGCAGGGUGAAGUCUCUGUAAGAGGGCUGACUGAGCUGGAGCCAAGAGCACACCUUUGUCCCUGCUCCCAACAAGGUAAGCAGAGUCUCGGAGAUGGAAAAGGUUAGGACAACCCGGGCUAUCCCCUCACACCUGGGCUGGGGACAGCUGCUCACUUGCAGCCCCAGCAGCCAAAGUCGUGAGAGAAGCAGGCAGGGCUACAGAGGUGACCACUCCUCCUCCCCCGGUCCCAGCCUUUCCACAGGCUUCCUCCUUCUUCCUCCUGAUUUCUCCUCCUCUCUACCCUCUCCAUGAGCUGGGGGAGAGAAGCCAGGUGACACGCCACCCUUUGUGUCAUUGGGGAGGACCAGGUCAGUUUGCAUUUCACACGGAUCCUUCCUUCAGCGGGGGAGCCCUUCCCCAGAGCCUGCACGCCAGUCCCUUCCUGGGGCUCCCCAGGCGCCAGCUGCACCAGCAUCUUCACGAUCCCAACUUCUCUCACAUGGUACGUGAGAGUCAGUCAAUUUCCCAGCUUGCUUUUUGCUCUUUUUUCAUUUUUAAAUUGUUGUUACUAUUGUGCAAAGACAGCACAGUCUGUCUACAGACCCUGAGCACAGAAGUAAAGUGUCCUGAGCAUGAAGGGGAGGUCUAAGACGGGCUAGAAGCAGAUUGCUGCUUCCAGCUUGGCGGGAUUCUGAUGAGAGCAUGAGUCUGCCUGUACCGUCCACUCACUAAGUACCAAGUACAAUGUCAAACCCUGAGACCGCAGAUUGCACACCCCGCCAUCUGCUUUUCCCCUUUCCUUUCCUUCUAGAAGCCACAGUUGUCAGUGAGGCACGUGGCUUGCCAGUAUAGAGACAACAUCUACGUGCCUCCCUUGUAUCCAGGUGUGGCCUCAGGACUAAUGUUGGGUCAGUGAGAGGUACAGAUGAGCCCUGUGCCUCUGUUUCUCUCUCCCGUUCCUUCCUGCUAGUCGCAGUGAGGUUCUGAUGACUCCGGGCUUGGUGACCAUAGGGGGCCGAGCGGUGGAAGCAACUUGUCGAAGGAGUUGGAGCGACAGGUGAGAAGGAGCCUGACAGUGGGAAUACACCAGCCUGGAUGGCCUGGCCGUCGUCUUUUGAAGGAAAUAACUAUCUUUCUUUUGUUUUAAACCACUGUCUUCUGUUAUGGUUGAAUAGAUUCACAAUGAAGAUCUUUAAGAGUCAUUUCUUUUGAACCUAGUAACAACAGUGUGACAUCAACACUUUCCAGGCGAGGCCGAUAGAGAUCAUGUAACAAACCCAAGGCCGUGUAGCCAAGGAGGGCUGAAACAAAGACUGUAGCCUGGGCACUCAGCAUUCCAAUCCUGUGCUUUUAAUAAUAUACUUUUCUCCCCACUAUUUCAAUAAAUGACUGGCCUUCUUCCUUUUGAAGUUGGUUUUUCUGACUUCCUUCAUUUCCUGUUUAUAAAAAUCCACUGCUUGAUACUAGCUUCUAGAGUAGGGCCACUGGGUUGCCAACUACAAAUGGGGCAAUAAUACCCUUAUUUAUUAUAAGGGAACUUACACACACACACACACACACACACGCAAAUGCUAAUGGUACGUAUCAAUCUCAAAUGAAAUGCUGGGGGUCUUCCUCGCUGCUCAGACAUUGGCUUUUAGACUCUCUACACACUGAUCAUGAUCCUAAACCCACAAACCAAUCCUAUAAUUUGGGAUCAUACUCUCUGGAACGUCGAACCUCCUUGAUACCAUGGAAAGGGAAGAGAACCCUUGGAUAUCCCACCCUGUUCUGUUUUGUGCUUCAACCCAGAAGGAACAGGUCACUUCCGCUCACAACCCAUUGGGCAGAACUGGUCACAUGACCCCAACGAUCUUCCAGGGGGCUGGACAUGGACUCUUGAUAGGUGUACGGUAAGCUGGAGGUCUUUGCCAUCUCGUGCAAGCAUCAACAUGUCUACAGUCAUGAGUCCUCCUAAAAAAUAUUCUGAGUUCUUUCCUUAAUCUCUGGUGGAUGCUGGUGGACAUUUCUAAGCUCCAGUUAAUGGGAAAGCACAGACGCAGAAGGACUUCCAUGGGCAUUUCUGGCCAAGUGACAGAAUGGGUUAGGAUUUUAAUAUUUGAUGGUUAGGAGCAGUUAGGCAAGUGGUGCCUGAGAAUUAAAAGAGGAUACGUAGGGGCACCUGUGUGGCUCAGUGGGUUAAAGCUUCUGCCUUCAGCUCAGGUCAUGAUCCCAGGGUCCUGGGAUUGAGUCCUGCGUCGGGCUCUCUGCUCAGCAGGGAGCCUGCUCCCCCCGCCAACUGCCUGUCUCUCUGCCUAUUUGUGAUCUCUGUCUGUCAAAUAAAUAAAUUUUAAAAAAAGAAAGAAGAAAAAAAAUAAAAAAGAUAGUGGCCCAAGAAGAAAUAAGGCUAUUGAUCCAUCCGGUUCUGACUUCCAGCCACCGGGAAACCUUGGGCAGCUCCUGUGGCCCCUGCCCACUCUUCUACCCACUCCAGUCCUCCCAUAAGGUUGAGAGCAAAUGCACACACAGAUUUGGAAUUUGGACUUUGGAAAGAGAUGGACUCAAGAAUACGAAUGAAGAGAAAUGUAGAUCAUUAUUUAUAUCCUGAGUCCUCCAGUCUAAACACAUUAGAUUUUAUCUAGAAGUUAGACUAGCGGAAUGGUCAGCUUCUCUCUUUUAUAGUUGGCCAAUUCCAAUUAGUACCAAGGAUCUAGUUGAACCAGGGGCUGGCCUGUUUUUGCUCUGGAUAGCAAAUCAGUCUCUCAGAUAUUUACGUUGUCCCUAGCAUGUGCAUGGUACAACGCUAAUGAAUAAUGAAUACUUGCAUGUUUGUGAAGGAACAGUGCAAUGCACUCAAGGCAACAAGACAAGUUUUAUAGUCAAACAUGCCACUUGGGUAAUAUUUACAAAUAGCCCAGAAAACCUCACUCUUCAAAGUCUUUUUAGAAGUUUACACGCUUCUUUCUUUCUUUCUUUCUUUCUUUCUUUCUUUCUUUCUUUCUUUCUUUUUUAAAGAUUUUAUUUAUUUAUUUUAGAGCGUGGAGAAGGGAGUGAUGUGGGGAGGGGUGGGGACAGGCAGAGGGAGAUGGAGAGAGAGGGAAUUUUAACCGGUGUGGAGCCUGAUGUGGGGCUCGAUCUCAUGACCCUGAGAUCAUGACCUGAGUGAAAUCAAGAGUCAGAUGCACGACCGACUGAGUCACCCAGCGCCCCGUGUGCUUAUUUCUGAGAUGUUGUCUUGACAUCCUCUUUUGGAAAUAUCUUUAGGCCCUGGGUAAGGAUAGUAUCUGAAAGUUGACCCCACGACCGCUCUAAUGUCUUUUCUGGUACUGUUGUUAUCCAUUAGUUCACUAGCAUUGGCUUUCAAUACAUUUUGUGUGUUCUCAGAAAUCAGAUACAUGCUCAGCAGAGAGAGAAAGAGUAACCAUGCCUAUGGAAUAUCUAGAAAAAAUGUGCCAUAGCCUCUAAAGGCAAAUCCUUAAUUACACUUCAAAACUCUACGACAAAUUAUAUUUUCCAAAAGCUGUGCUUCUCCUCCUAUUUCUUAUCCCAUUACUUUCCAAGAAACUUGACACUCUCCCACUGAUAUGUGGAGUCUAAUCCCCUUCCCUUGCAAGUAGGUGAGUUUCUGACUCGUCAUCAGCAGAAGGCAGGGAAGCGAUGCUGUCGGACUUCAGUGUGGGGUCAUAAAAGGGAAUUUGGUUCUGCCAUGUGAGUCAAACACCCUCACCGGAGCCCCCAGAUCACCAUGUAAGGACCUUGACCACUUCUGGGGUAUAAAUACCCCUACACCCGUCAGUGUGGUGAACAUAGAAUUGGAAAGAGACGCACACAAGGGUUAUACUGUCCCCAGUAUAACCCCCUAGCCAGAGCUGUGGCAGAGCCUGGAGGAGGUCAGCUCUGUGGGGCCAACAGGUGCUCCUUGGUGUGUUUCAAAGUUCCUUCCUGUUUAUGGGAUGGCAGCCCAGAGCCAGGUAGCACUGAAAUCUGUGGGGUUUAUCUGUGCUUGCCUCUGGCCAAGGUAGAGAACGAGACACUUCUGGCUUCACAGUGGACAAACAGAACUGAACCCCUAAGCCAUCCAAAAGGACCCCCAAUUGGGCACUCUCUUCCCAUGAUACAGAAGAGUGUUGUGGACAGUGGCCGGCCUCCUGAGGGGUGACACGCAGACAGCCGUGGGCAGCUUGGGGCCUCAGCUCUCUGGGGUUCUGAAGGCCCUGCCUCCCUAAUGGGGCUAAGAAAACCUGUCCUGAGGUAUUUGGCUAGCAUGGAACACAUUUGGUGGGCAAGGAGCCAUAGGAGGACUGCGCCCACUUUGUGACAGCGUCGCCCAGUUUCUACUGAGACCACGUGCCCGCACCCACUGCCUGGGACAAUACCCACCCCCUCCCACCGACACCCGAGUCUGCAUGAGGGGGUCAGACAGAGAAGGCCGUGCUCUUUGCAAUGACAUGGUUUCUAUCUUAAAUUAAUACACUGCAUUUGGGGGGGGGGCGGAACUCAUAAAAGAAGAAAAUUAAAAUUGUACCCAAUCCCUCGCGCUGCCCAUUAAAAAUUCUGGCUUUGUUUAUAGUCUUUUAGAAUAUGCAGUCUGUACAGGUUGUAUACUCAAAAGUCUUUCCUGUAGCAUUGAUCACACCAUGGUCAUCUCCCCAUGCCCUUAAAUCUUAAAAAAUAACGUCGGGGGCUGUGCCAGGGUGGCUCUGUCACCUGAGUAUCUGACUCUUGGUUUUGGCUCAGGUCAUGAUCUCGGGGCCAUGGAUCGAGCCCCGUGUUGGGCUCCACGUUCAGUGCGGGGUCUGCUUGUCCCUCUCUCUCUGUUCGUGCCCCCCCCAAAAUAAACAAAAAAUUUAAAAAUAAUAAGGGUGCAUAAUAUUCCAUCAUUUGGAAGAAAACAACUUUUAUUUCCAGCUGUAGAGGCUAACUCUGUUUUUCCAUGAUGGAAAACCUCAUACGUCCGUCUCGUGCUCUUAGCAGACUGUGGCGCACUUGGAGCAACAGGAGAACAUGGUGGAAUGACAGCGUCAUUGUUAAGGCUCUUGAGAAACAUCACUGUUUUGCAGAAGGCUGCUCUCCAGUGUGAGCUCCCACCCGGGAGGCGGACCGGCGCAGGUCCAACAACAGUGAAAGGGGCAACGUGAAUUUGCAUGAUUGGCUUGGGAUCUCCACUUUUGAUGAAUACAGAAGCAUUGUACAUGUCUGCUGACCAUGUGUGUUUCUGCCAUUGACUCACAUUCUCUGUCCCUUUCCUUACAGAUAUCUCAGCCCUUUUACGAGUUUUUGCAAUAGCGUUCCACAUCAAAAUACAAUUCUUUGUGAUAUUUAGCAUAUCUUCCCAGUGUUACGGACAGCUACACUGAGUUCCAGUUUCUGUGGUCCGUCGCAAUCAUCUCUUACUUUUUAACUCACAUCUAAACCUUUAUUCCUACGUGGUCCUUCCCUCUCAAGAUCUGAAGUUUAUGUACAUCUUCGAUUGUAUGUUAAAAAUGCCUAUAGACUUAAUUUUGAUAUAUGGGGAGAACUAGGAAUUAUCUUUAAUCUUUUCCACAUGGUUGUUCCUAACAUCAUUUGUGGACUGACCUCCCUUUCCUCACGGAUCUUAACCAUGUACUAAUUUUUUAUCUAUAGUAUUUCUAUUAGGGUUUGUGUUUGAGACUCUGUUACCCCCUCCAUCUGCUGAUUGGGCUGUUGAAAUUUUUAUAAUAUCUUUGUUUUUCUUCUUUCCCCUCAACAAUAUAAUACGUUUACUAUGGUUCCUUCUCAAAAUAUUCUCGAUCAAGCUACAAAAACUUCCUGCUUCAGGCCUCCUCCCAUUAAAUUCUUGUUGAUCAGAGCAAGUGACAACUUUUCCCUGAGAAACCACUCUUUUAAUUUUUCCCUGCUCAUCCUGGUCUUGGGCUUUGGGAUGGAGAAGCAAACAAGAGUGAGUAAAGAGAGAGCUUGGGCCUCAUGAAGUCACCUUGACAGGAAAUUCAUUUGAGUUGUCACCUUCUUCUUAUUAAGGGUCAUGUGCCUGUUGUUGCUAAAAUGCAACAACUUGCAUUUAGCUUUGUCUCUGCCGUCUCCCAGCAGCGAGACACCCAAAAUUGAGAAUAGUAGCUGCUCAUUCAAGAACAGUCAGCAAAGGGACUAGGCUUUACUUGCAACUUUAUCAUGAAAUUAUCUCGGACACACUGCUGUCGUACUCUGGAAUUGUGCCACACCAUCUGUAAAAUGAGGCUUCCAGACCGGACUGCCUUCCUGCUGUAAUGCUGUGCAACUGGUCAUAGGCGGCCCCAUCUAAAUCCUGCCUUUGUUUCCCUGAAGCCAGCAUCUGUCAGAACUGUUCAAUGGUUCUGAGUUCAGACAUCUUCACAUUUUCCAGAGCCUUCUUGCUUGGUGAACAGUCCUUUCAAGAUCCAAGGAAGAAAAGCACCCCCAAACGUGAAGCAGAUAAAAAGGAAUAGCUAUCCAAAAGAAGAAGAAAUUUGUGUGUAUGUUUCUCUCUCUCACUCAUUAGUAUGACUUCUAACUGAUUCAAACAUUUGUUACACUUUUCCUGGAAACUUAGAAGUUUAAUUUGGAAUACAGUCAUGGAGAGAAAAUUCUGCUGAGUAUAUAAUGCAAAAAUAUGGUUGCUAAUGAGUGCCAUUGAUUUAACAGGAAAUAAGGAGAAAAAUACAAAUUUUGGAAGAAAAUAAGCAAUUUCAAAACGUUUCAAUUUGCUCCAAAUCCAACUUCAUUGCUUCAAGGGGUAGCUUGGAAAUUCUUCUCAUGAAAACGCAGUAAAUAUUACUGUAGACUGUUUUCUGGCCUGGAAGACGUGGGUAGAAAUGACAGAUUUCCUAGAACAACUUUUGGGAAAUUUGUGUUGAUGGUACCUCUGAUUUUAAGUUCUUCAUUCUUUCUUCCAGCAAAAACACACCAAGUCAUUGCAACAACACAGAACAGAGUUGCAAAUUCCUGCUUCUAUAAUUAAAAAAAAAAAAAAAAUCUUUUUGGUCUUUGUGUUCAGAUCGUGUGUGUGUAUGUGUGUUACACAUGUUUUGAGAUAGUUUGGGGACACACGACAAAAGAAUCUCCUUCUUCCCUACUAGGAAUUCUUGAUUUUACACCAUUAAUGGGCAUUUUCAAAACAUUAAGCACCAGGUUUGAAGUCUACAAAUAAAAUGCAAGUGCAGAUGCCGUGUUUACGCUCGCAUUAACACUUCAUAAGCAGUUCAUUAAACUGAUAACACUUUAAACAGUAACACUGGCUCUUUCAGACUCUCUCAGCCUGUAAUUGUCCCGAGGCACCAAAUGAACCCUUUCUAGGCUGGGAACCACAGGAAUUUACAUUCUUGACGUGUGUCUCUUAAUUAUGGACACCCUGGGCCCUGGCCGAUUCAGAGAGGGCCUGGCUCAGGCCAGCACGGCCCACUGACUGCAGGCACAGGCACAGGUCAGGGGCUGUCUGCUGGGAGACAGCCACCACGCAAGGAAACGGGCCUCGGGACAGGGCCGGGGCAGUAGCCGGAACAAGGUCACCCCACGACUUUCCUGAAACACUUCAGCUGGGUUUGUGCUGACCCUCUCUGACCAGAAACCAGUUUCCAAAGGACCCAUCUCCCUGUUCAUUUCUAGUGAGUUUCCUUUCUAGAAGCAGCAAUCCCCACAGCCCCAGUCCUCUCUAGAAACGGGAGAGCCUGUGCAGGCCUUCUCCCUGGCAUGAACUAGGGCCCGAGGGGCUGUGUUAUCAGAGUGGACGUGGACCGGCGGGCACUUCAGUCCUCUUUCAGGAACGACAUCAGGAUGACCUGUCCCAUCGCCAUUGGAGCUCUGCAUGCCCCUCACUGAAUUCCACAACCAGGAGGUUCUUCCUGUUUGGGAAGACGACACAGAAGCCUGCCUGGCCACAAAGGGAUGAUGAUUUCAGAUCCCCCGGGGCUUGAGCCCAGGGCGUCCGCCCCAGUAAGACUUUUCUAGCAUCAUCUCCCUCAUCCUGCCAACUGGUCGGGACUCGUAUCCUCACUUUGCAAAAGGGGAAAGGGAAGCAAAGGCGGAGACGGAAUUGGAACUCUAGUCCACCCCCGCUCCCACGACAGGGCUGUGGCCUCUACGCCAUGGCCCCCUCUGAGGGCACGGGGUGUGCUGGGCAGUGAGUUAGAGGUUCUCAAAGCCCGGCUCCUGGAGUUUCAGCCCGAGGGCAGUGAGAACCCAGCUCCUCUCGCACCUUCUGCCAGGCCAGGGCCGCUGCCCCGAGUUCCCAGGCCUCCAGCCCUGGGGCUGAUCUCCAGCUCCGCGGAACUGAUGGUAACUGAUCCGUGACAGAUGAUGGGUGUGCUGCUCCAGCCGGUGAGAAAGAGCCUCCGCGGUCUGGCAGGGUUUCUGCAUUUCAACGGGCUGCAUCUGAUGGCCAACGACAUCAGGGACAGGGAUUUGGACUUUCAGACAGUCCUGAUUCGAGUGCAUUCACCUGCGCACUUAGUGACUUUACUCAGCACUCACCAUGUGUUCUCAAGACAGAGCUAACCCUGGGGCACUGGAUUCCUACCCUUGUGGAGGCAGCGCAGUGGGGAAGACAGACGGUAGACCAGAAACUGCACCUGAGAAAGUGGACACGAACGGGUCCCUGCUGUAAUCGGCACUGUGACGAGGAUGUUCUGCAGGUGCUGAGGUACAGACCUGGGAUCCAUGUCUUCAAGGACACCUGGUGCUCAUUAACCGCGCGGCCUCCUUCACGCCCGACACCCGCCUAGUCGUUCGCUUUGUAAGUGAAGAGCAUGAAGACUUCCUUCCGCCCGCUGUUCCCCUGCGGACACCAGUCUGUGGCACCGGCCAUGCAGGUGCCUCCAGUGUCAUUCCCUUCUGAUACCUGCCAGGUUGUCCUCCCACAGCUCCCGAGCAUAGUCUGGACUGGAGGGAUUUUCCUUAUUGAAAGUAGGGUCCCUUUGGGGCGCCUGGGUGAUUCAGUCACGGUAAAGCGGCUGCUUUCAGCUCAGGUCAUGAUCCCAGGGUCGCGGGAUCAAGUCCCUCGUUGGGCUCCCUGCUCAGCGGGGAGCAUGCUUCUCCCUCUGUCCCUACUUCUGCUUGUGCUCUCUCUCUCACUCUCUCAAAUAAACAAAUAAAAUCUCUUUUUAAAAAAGAAGACUCGAGGAGCCUGGGUGGCUCAGUGGGUUAAGCCUCUGCCUUCGGCUCAGGUCAUGAUCUCAGGGUCCUGGGAUCGAGCCCCGCAUUGGGCUCUCUGCUCAGUUGGGGAGCCUGCUUCCCUCCUCUCUCUCUGCCUACUUGUGAUCUCUGUCAAAUAAAUAAAUAAAAUCUUAAAAAAAAAAUAAAAUAAAAAGAAGACCGUAUAGUCACUCUAAGAAGACAGUGGCAGUGCCCUGGGGGUUUUGAAGUGAAAAUGAUCCUAUGCUCAGAGAGAACAAUGCCCCGAGGGCCAGGAGAGCAGAGAGUUUGGAUCUCUGAGGUCCAGGGCAA